GAGUAAUGUUCCGUUUUGGUUGCUUGCACUAUUCAUUAGCUUGCGCGUCGCCCGCGGUGCAGCCACUUACAAUGGCUGCAGAGCUGUGUUGGCGGCUAUGCUAUUGACAGAAGCAUAUGGAUUUCAUUUCCUAUUCAUCACGCCGACCGCACGGAAAAAGAUCCACGAGAGCGCGGCUUUGUGCGGCGCUGAGACAAAGUGCCGUUUGGAGGAGAGAAAGUAAGACAGAAUGAAAGGGGGGAAACAAUCAGAGGGUGGAUGUGCCUCUAAGUGUGAGUGCUUGCUUCAGAUUGCUAUCCUGUACUAUCUAUUUUACAGAAAGAAGGAGGGAGAGGGGUUGUUUUAAAGACAGCCAUUUCGAGAUGCCAUCAUCACUCAAGCUAGCCAAGGUCCCGGGCAGGAGCUGUUGCCAUAUAUCAAGGUAUUCUUGAUCAAUAUUGAUUGAUCGGUGCAACUUCAGGGAAUAUCAGGACCCAUCUCUUCCCCUCACACCGUUCUGUUUGUGCAAUUAAUACGGGAGGAGGAGCUGUAAGUCAGCCAUAACUUUUUAACCUUGCGAAACGCCACGAUAAAUCACAAACCUGCGCCGUCAGAUGAACCGAGCUGGCAGGUUGGAGGAGUCCUGGGAACAAAGUACCAACGGCAUGUUCCCACAGACGGUUCAAAGGCUGUGUUUGCUUUAAAGUGACGGCCAGUGUCCGCGUGGGUCACCUGAUACCCUCCUCACAUCCGUUUGUUUACCUCCUUUGUUCAAAGAAACGCAGACAGAUAUGUUUCUGCUGGGAUCUGGUGCGUGACAGAAUGCGAAGGAGGUUUUGUUUGGUUUGAGGUUUUUGGCGAAGAUCUUGAUCUUUCUCCAGUUUGACCAAAAGCUCAUUGGAGUUCAUCUUGACGUGUAAUAACUGUUAUUUUCUAAGUAGGCCUCAUACUUUUCUAGGUUUGCCAUCUUGCCAAUUAUGUUGGAAAUGAUAUCAACCUUUCAGUGUUCUUAUUUUGCAAUUCGCCAACAAACAUCCAAACCACAUCCCCGAGCAAACAGACCUGCCAGUUUGUCACCAAUCUCGACAAAUUUGAUCUGGACGUCCAAUAAUGUCACUUUUCCGCUUCAGUCCAGGCUAAAAAGGAUGAAAAGAUGAAUCCUUGUGGCGUUUCUAUACAUGCUAGCCCAGGCGAUGGAUCCCAAUGACCUUUGUGAUCCCUCGCUCUUCCUCCAGUGGCAACGUGAGGUCAGCGUUUUUGGUUUUGAAGGGACUUUCGUAGGCUGGUUAUUGCCGCCACAUCUGAGCCUCCCCACCUCAGAUAUUGCUUUUGUAAUCCCAGACUUUUCAUCUUUUGUUUAACCAUCCAUCCAUCAAUCCAUCUAUCUAUCCGUUCAUAAUCUACACCACUUAUCCUGUUAGGGGUUGCAGAAGAGGCUGGAGGCAGCGUUUAACUCAACAAUCCUGUCUUUUGGAUAGACAGAGGUAGGAAGUCUGGGUAACCCGAAGGAAAAUAUGCAUGCAAACUCUGCAUAGCAAGAUCGUGAUUCAGCCGGACACAUCUAUCAGUGAGGAAACAAACUCUAACCAAAGAAAAGAAGAAGAAAAGGAUUUUCAGCUGUAACUUUUUAUGCUGUGGUAAUGAGUAAAAUUUAAUACAUGCUUUAAAAGUUCCUGUGAGAAGUUUUUGGAUGUUUAUGAAACAGACCUGAAUCCUCAAUGAUGCCUUUUAGGUGUCAGUGGAGCUGUUUUACAAUUUCCACAUUCGAUGUUCGCAGAAAAUGAGAUGUUAGACUGUCAAAAGUCAGCAGGAUGAGUUUUUUAACGCAGCGUUAUUGAUCUCCACUGUGCUGUUUCGAACUUGAGGUUGAUUUUAUGAUGUUAUGUUUCGCAUUAAGGGUGUUUGUUUCUCAGCGCUGGAGUUGAGAUUUUCUUAUUCACCUUCCCCUGGAGGCAGGACUGUAAUUACCUGUGAUGUUUGUGUGGAUUUAAUGCAAAACACAUCGGGCAGAGGGAAAUCGAAUGUGAACACGUCCUGUCCGACACCAUUUAAACAACACCGGCCCGGCUGCUGAAUCAGCCCCGUUUUAUAGUCAUUACUUCUGUUUCCAUUUCAACAUGAAUCCAUCACAUACAAACACUCUGAAUGCUGCCAAAAAACACACACUGCCCUCACCAGGAUCUGUAAAUUAUUGGUGUUGUCCUUUCUAUAGGGUGUCCUCUUUUACCCGGACAUGUCCUUCUUUAGGGGGCUGUCCGGCCUGUCCGGGGAGAGUUUAUAAAAUCCUUCAAAUAUCAAGGGUUUUGUAUGGAAGUAUGGAAUUUGUGUAGCAUGGACUAACUGAGUUACCCAGGAUUUCCACCGCAUCCGAAACGGCUCCAAUCCGGAAUGGCAGCGAUUUUCGCCUUACCCCAAUUCCUACCGGAUCCAUUUGUGAGGCAGAUUUUGUGGCGGAUUACGGACAGCAGGAAUCGCGAGAACUCACAACGUGUAAUCAUACGAGAACAAGUUGUCUUUAGCCACAUAGGCUAACCAUAUAAGCCGUAGAUUGUGUCCUUCCAGAAGAGGAAAUCUACUUAUAUUUUUAUAAAAUUGGCAUCUCCUCAUCCAUGGUGUCAUCGGGAUGAAAUGUCGCCUGAAAAUCGGAGUGUUUUAUUUUAAAAAGAAAUUUUAUUUUGUGUCUGUGCCCGACUUCCUUUCCAGCAGGAGUUAAUCUGUGCUGAAUUUAUCCGGCAUGCUUCGGCAUCUGGAAAAAAAUAGAACUCUGACGAUUGGCUGCGGAGUCUGACGAUCCGCAGAGGAACGGAAAGAAGACGGUGGAAAUUGACACGUUAACUUGAAUGGUUACGAUCGGCAGAUAUAGCCUUUUCGUAGCCGUUCCGGAUGCAGUGGAAAUUAGAGGUUAGAAGCACGUGAAAAAAAAAAACACUCAAAAUUCAGCGCAUGACUCCGCCCUGCAUAGUAGUGUCCCUUUUUUGGGGGAUUCAGGAUAUGGUCACCCUACUUUCUCUAGCCUCGGGAUGCCAGCCAGUAAGGGGUUGCAGUAAACAGUGCGCAAAAAUAAUCACACUUGUUUUGGGUCUUUUUUUUUAUUGCAGAGAUGCUAAAAAUUUAGUUUUUACUCCUCCUCUGACAAAAUUAUUUACCUCAUACUGAUUGAGAAGUCCGCUGAUCGUCAAAUUUGUUAGUAAAGUCGUAUUUCAUUCGUCAAACGACUGAAGAAAUAUUCAAACUUCUUUUUCGACAUAAUGAUUCCUUCUUGUUUGUGUUGCUUAAACAUUUUAGGUCAGUGAAUGCUCUCCAUUCUUGAUCAAGUUUCUCACUUUGGCACAUUUAAUAUGACAUCUGUUCAACUAACUGAAUGCAAAUGUUGUGGGCUGUCUGGAGCGCUUCAUCCGGCGCCGGCUAAUCAUGUCUUACAUCCAUGCCAGCUAUGGGCGAGCAUGAGGAGAGCGAGGAUGUGUGCCGUGGUAAUAAAUAAUCCAUGAAUGUAGUUGAGCUGACACUCAGCCAGUAAAAAAAUAAGUGAAAUAAUGUUUUGGCUUAAAGAGUGUUGGACUAAAUCAUGUAACAUUUGUUAACACUUUUUAUAAGCCAUAUUUUUACACAGCCUCAUUCCCUUCUCAUCUCAUUAGUUUGGCAUCAUAAGGUAAAUGUCACUGUGGAUUUAUAUUUUAAUACUUUCAGCCUUUAGUAAAUAUUACAAUGGCUUAUAAAAAGGGAAUAUUUCAUAUUUUAUAUGUGGCUUGAAAACAGCUUUUUAUCUCCUUCAUAUUCUAUUUAUCAGUGAAUCCAGGCAAACUGGAGGACAGGAUUUAAACCUUUUUAGACCUUAAACUUUGAGAGUUAUCAAGGGAAAAAUAUGUUAUUAUUGGAUAAACAGUUCAAAUGUUUACCCUUAUCUAAUCUAAUCCUCCUUUCUUGGAUCUAAUUCACUUACGCAGCACCUUGCAGGAAGCUUUCCGAAUCAAAUUUCGCCCAAACCCUGAAGUUUUACCAGAGUGCUUUAUAUUGACUUACCCACUGUGCAGAGAAACCAGCUCCAUUAAUAUUGAGGGGGGAGUUCUCGCACCUUCAUCUGGAGAGUUCAAGUCCAGGUACAACACAGACAGAGAUAAAUAAUGCAGAUAACUUUGAGAUUUUAAAGCUGCAGGUGAAUAUUUCAAAGCAAAAUAGUUCAUACCAGCAUACUUAUUCAUACACUUAUUCAUAUAUUCAAUCUAGCUACGAUGAACUAUAAAGGUGUGUAAACUUUAAAUUCUUAUAUCACUUAUUUUCUAAGAGAUAAUGAGCCGGUACUGGUUUUUACAGUGUGUUUGUGCUUAUUUAUAUAACUCAUCACAUUAAAUUUGCUCACUCACAGAAGUCUAUGUCUUAGGCCUCUGAAUAUCUAAAACUGGUGUUUUGCAUCUAGAAAUAAAUGUUUGUAAUUAUAUAUAAUCUGAACACUUUUUUUUUUAACAACAAAAUGUACUUUUACUUUUAUUUUUAAUACUUAAAGCUCCUAUGAGGAACUUUUAACAGAAAAAAAACUAAUCCUACCAACUUUUGGAGGACUAAUUUAUCAUUUAUUGAGUAUUUAAUACAAAAAAAAGGACAGGACUGUUUCUUACACCUACUCUAAUAUACAAAUAUCAAUUCUCUCACGGAUGGUUUUGUUUGUUUUAGGAGGUCAUGAAAACGCAUCCUUUAAAAUUUGGUCCAUUUAACAACAUCAAAAGGAAAAUUAAAACCACAGUACAUGUGAUACUUAAGUACUGUAAGACUCCCAUUUAAAGCACUUUUAAGAAGUUUUUUAGCAGUAAUUCAAUAAAGUAAAAUCCAUGUUUUUGCCUUCUAAUGAUAAACACUGUGAGAGGGUAGGUCCAAGUUUUCACAUAUUCCAACUUAAAUAUUCAUAAUGAAUGAUAAAGUUGGAUAAGUUUUGUUGUCAAAUAAGCAAAGACUGCUUUGUCCACAGGGGGCGCCAAAUUUGACACAAGCCAAAAGUUCCUCACAGGAGCUUUAAAUAACAACUUUCACCAAUACCAAAGUCAUUUUCUGGAGCGAUAUUUGUACUUUUACUCAAGGAUGGCUUCAAGGUAGAGACGUUCCAAUACCAAUUUUUCCUCCUGACACCGAUUCCGAUACCUGUGCUGUGGGUAUCAGCCGAUACCGAGUACCGAUCCAAUACCAGUACGUUAUAUAUAAAGAAAAACCAUACCAUAUCAAAUCAUACCAGACCUGCAUGGCUGUGAUAUGAUUGUGGUAAGGUCUUUGUAAAACAGCAAAUUUUAGCCAUUUAAUUUUAAAUAGAACAGUACAAAAAAAACUGCAAAUGCAAUUGAACUCAAUGAAGUAAAAAGUGCAGCCACAGUAUUUUUAAAUAAAAAGCUAACUUGUAAAUAAACUCCAGUACUUGCUUGUACUGUUGCCAGCAUUUUCUGCAGUAUCGGAGCAACUUCCAAUACUGGUAUCGGAAUCGGAACAACUCUACUUCAACGUACUUCUUACACCUUUCUAUUGCCGAGCUGAACAGGUACUUGUUAAUUCAUUGACAUGAUAUGAACAGUAUGCUUGUUGUGUGUGUGUUUCUGUCUUUUUAAAUCAGAUGCCAAUCCCACCCCUGUACAGUAAAAUUAAAGUGUCACUUUCUGGAGAUGGGUGAAUACGACCAUCCCAUCCAGGGAGCCUCAUCGUGUCGGAUGAGCCUGGAUAUCCUCCAAAGGAAGAUGCCCAGAAGGCAGCCUGAUCAGAUCCUAAACUGGCUCUAACUGCAGAUCUCCACCAAAGCCUCCCCUUCCAGGUCUGAACCCAGCCACCCUCCUUUCAGGUUCUUGUAUCUGCUGCCUCGCGCCUUUCAGCCUGAGAUUCGAGUCACAUUUUCCCUUUUGUAACUCGACAAAGAAACGAAUCUUCACUCUGUGAUUGAAUAUGCAGUGAUGGUGUUAUUUUCUCUCCCUUUUGUACCCUGUUAGUAUAUUGUAUUCAGUCUUACAUUACUUUUAAACGGCUACCCCUUUCAACCAAAUCAUCUUGACAUCACAUUUAGGUCUUAUUUGUAAAGAAAGCUGAUGAAACCUUUUCACUCCUCACUUUAAAAGUAGGACGAAAAAUGCGUCAAUCAGACUCUCGAAUCUCAUUUCUCUGUGAUGUAUGAAUGAUGCAUCGCAUACAGUACAGUUCCCUCCUUUCCAUAGAAAAAUUGGCAUGUAGAAAAGGAGAGUGAGCUCGGCUUAGUAUUAUCUAUUAAUGUGCUGCAGACAGGAAUAACUUCAAAGAGAGAAUUUGGAUGACAAUACUUCUGAGCGCGCCAAAAAAAAGGUCGAUUUCACAACUUCUUUUUUGAGCGUAUUUUUUAAAAGGCAAAACUUUUAUUCCAACACGCAGCUUAUCGGUUAUUUUUUAACUGUACUUAUCUAUUAGGGAAUGUAUUUAAAGUAAGAUAUAGAGUGCCCAGCAUGAGUCAGUACACCCCCUAUUAAAAGCAAUGUAUUACUCAAUAUCUAGAUGAGUUAAAGUACAAUUUCCAAAGUUUUGACAAAGCAGAGUUUAACACAACAUUUGAUUUACCAUAAGAUAAAAAUAAGAGUGAUACGGUGCCUAAAAUUUAGCUUUGCUCCUAGAACUUUUAUUAGGAUGUACUCAUUUUUGCAUCCUGAUUUUAAAUUGAAAUAAAUUCUUUUUUUAUGCGACUUUAAAAAUCUUGUUUGCAAUCAAUGACCUACAUUUGGAGGAAUAUUUUGUUGUAUAGUCUGACGUAGCAAAUGUUGAUUUUAAAAGGAAACUUUUUCUGACAACUCUGAAGGGGUAUACUCAUUUAUGCUGAGCACUGUAACUGUUUAGAUUUUAAUGUCAUGAAGAAAAGUAAAAAAAAUCUGCGAAACUACAUUUGCGCCGCUUUACCCUCACAAAGCAUGAUGGGAUUUCUUGCAGUGCAAAAAAAUUUUUAUUUUAAUUUUCUCGCCUUUUAUGUCAAAAUCAUGCAUUUACAGCAAACUGUGGUUUAGAACUACGUCACAUGAGUUUUAUGUCAUGUGGCGUACCACAGGGGUCUGUCCUGGGUCCCAAUACUUUUCUCCUUUUACCUGCCAAACGUAUCUUAUAAGCAAAUAACAUUCAACUCUACUUCUACUUUAAACUCUCCAAAAUCAGGAAGGUAUCGAAGCUCCUUGACUGCAUUAACUCAGUUCAACACUGGUGAAUUUGAAGUAAAAAGAACUUUUUAAGGUUAUUUCCAUUACUUCACAGAACACUGAAUCCCUUUCCACAGCCGUUUACUCCAGCCUCCGUAUAUAUCUGAUAAAUAUACGCUGUUUUACAUUCAUGUGGAAAAACUCAUCUGAGAAUCAUCAAUAAACUGAAAUCCUCGGUGUCA
rnacentral:lncRNA from 1 species